AGAACGAACGCUGGCGGCAUGCCUAGUACAUGCAAGUCGAACGAACUCUUCGGAGUUAGUGGCGCACGGGUGCGUAACGCGUGGGAAUCUGCCCCUUGGUUCGGAAUAACAGUUGGAAACGACUGCUAAUACCGGAUGAUGACGAAAGUCCAAAGAUUUAUCGCCAAGGGAUGAGCCCGCGUAGGAUUAGCUAGUUGGUGAGGUAAAGGCUCACCAAGGCAACGAUCCUUAGCUGGUCUGAGAGGAUGAUCAGCCACACUGGGACUGAGACACGGCCCAGACUCCUACGGGAGCAGCAGUAGGGAAUAUUGGACAAUGGGCGAAAGCCUGAUCCAGCAAUGCCGCGUGAGUGAUGAAGG
rnacentral:rRNA from 1 species